rnacentral:rRNA from 1 species
UGAUCCUGGCUCAGGACGAACGCUGGCGGCGUGCCUAAUACAUGCAAGUAGAACGCUGAAGAGAGGAGCUUGCUCUUCUUGGAUGAGUUGCGAACGGGUGAGUAACGCGUAGGUAACCUGCCUGGUAGCGGGGGAUAACUAUUGGAAACGAUAGCUAAUACCGCAUAAAAUUGAUUAUUGCAUGAUAAUUAAUUGAAAGAUGCAAUUGCAUCACUACCAGAUGGACCUGCGUUGUAUUAGCUAGUUGGUGAGGUAACGGCUCACCAAGGCGACGAUACAUAGCCGACCUGAGAGGGUGAUCGGCCACACUGGGACUGAGACACGGCCCAGACUCCUACGGGAGGCAGCAGUAGGGAAUCUUCGGCAAUGGGGGAACCCUGACCGAGCAACGCCGCGUGAGUGAAGAAGGUUUUCGGAUCGUAAAGCUCUGUUGUAAGAGAAGAACGGGUGUGAGAGUGGAAAGUUCACACUGUGACGGUAUCUUACCAGAAAGGGACGGCUAACUACGUGCCAGCAGCCGCGGUAAU